rnacentral:tRNA from 1 species
GGACUGGUAGCUGAGACGCCGGGCUUGCCCCUCUUGGCUAACGCGGGCGGCGGUCUGAAGAACCGCAUACGAGGAUUCGAGCGCCUCCCAGUCCA